CACAUAUCUUACACAGUUUUCACAAUUAUUUUUGAAAUAAUAUAUACACAAUCAUAGUUUCAGAAAUGGUUUUAACUAAAGGUAUUGUUUCUAACAGAUACAUACAUUUUCCAGCAUUUUUUUAUUAUGCAUUGUAUUUAUAUUUUUAAGACAUCAGUCCUCUGAGUAGCACCAUAGCUUCUUCUACAGGUAGCACCAUAGCAGUCACUACUUCCUUGAGUAGCACAACAGAUUCCUCUACUGCUAGCACCCAAGCAGUCACCACGUCCUUGAGUAGCACAACGGCUUCCUCUACUUCUAGCAGCAAAGCAGACACCAGUCCCCUGAGUAGCACCAUAGCUUCCUCUACAGCUAGCACCAUAGCAGUCACUACUUCCUUGAGUAGCACAACGGCUUCCUCUACUUCUAGCAGCAAAGCAGACACCACUUCCCUGAGUAGCACAAGUGCUUCCUCUACUGCUAGCACCAAAGCAGACACCAGUCCCCUGAGUAGCACCAUAGCUUCCUCUACAGGUAGCACCAUAGCAGGUGAGUUUUGAGUUUUUAAUUGUGAAAUUACAGCAGUAUUUAGUAAUGUUGUUGUGGUUAUAAAUGCUCAUGAUUAUUGACCAAAAAAUAGGAGUUUGUGGAUG
rnacentral:lncRNA from 1 species